CGCUAGCGUAUAUUAAAGUUGUUGCAGUUAAAAAGCUCGUAGUUGAACCUUGGGCUUGGCUGGCCGGUCCGCCUCACCGCGUGCACUGGUCCGGCCGAGCCUUUCCUUCUGGGGAACCGCAUGGCCUUCGCUGGCCGUGUCGGGGAACCAGGACUUUUACUUUGAAAAAAUUAGAGUGUUCAAAGCAGGCCUUUGCUCGAAUACAUUAGCAUGGAAUAAUAGAAUAGGACGGCCCUCCUAUUUUGUUGGUUUCUAGGGGAGCCGUAAUGAUUAACAGGGACAGUCGGGGGCAUCGGUAUUCAAUUGUCAGAGGUGAAAUUCUUGGAUUUAUUGAAGACCAACUACUGCGAAAGCACUUGCCAAGGAUGUUUUCAUUAA
rnacentral:rRNA from 1 species